UAUUAGGUUGGUGCAAAAGUCAUUGCAAUUUUUGCUGUUAAAAGUAAUGGCAAAAACCGCAAUGACUUUUGCACCAACCUAAUA
rfam:Papio anubis isolate 1X1155 chromosome 20, whole genome shotgun sequence.